rnacentral:lncRNA from 10 species
UUAGGAGGCGCCUGCUGAGGAAUGCAAGGGUGAGUUGUUUUGACGUCUGUAACUAGCUUCCAACCGGUUCCACGAGAGAAAGCGGGCGGAGGCAGAGAAAUCACAACAUGCUACGAAGCGCUGGAUCCAGACUAUGGAAAUGAUGUUAGACAAAAAGCCAAUUCGAGUGAUUUUCUUUUUUGAGUUCAAAAUGGAUCAUAAAGCAGCAGAGACAACUUGCAACGUCAACAAUGCAUUUGGCUCAGGAACUACUAAUGAAUGUACAGUGCAGUGGUGGUUCAAAAAGUUUUGCAAA